rnacentral:rRNA from 1 species
AUACGGAGGAUCCGAGCGUUAUCCGGAUUUAUUGGGUUUAAAGGGUGCGCAGGCGGCCAUUUAAGUCAGCGGUUAAAUCGUGGGGCUCAACCCCAUUCUGCCGUUGAUACUGGGUGGCUUGAUUGCGGUCGAGGUUGGCGGAAUUCGUUGUGUAGCGGUGAAAUGCAUAGAUAUGACGAAGAACACCGAUUGCGUAGGCAGCUGACCAGACCGCAAAUGACGCUCAUGCACGAAAGUGCGGGGAUCGAACAGGAUUAGAUACCCUGGUAGUCCGCACAGUAAACGAUGAAUACUUGUUUCCGGCGAUAUAAUGUCGGAGGCAAAGCGAAAGCGAUAAGUAUUCCACCUGGGGAGUACGCCGGCAACGGUGAAACUCAAAGGAAUUGACGGGG